AAAGUUCCUUCGACGAGUCGAGUAGUUUGGGAAUGCUGCUCUAAAUGGGAGGUAUAUGUCUUCUAAAGCUAAAUACCGGCCAGAGACCGAUAGCGCACAAGUAGAGUGAUCGAAAGAUGAAAAGCACUUUGAAAAGAGAGUUAAAAAGUACGUGAAAUUGUUGAAAGGGAAGCGUUUAUGACCAGACUUGGGCUUGGUUAAUCAUCUGGGGUUCUCCCCAGUGCACUUUUCCAGUCCAGGCCAGCAUCAGUUUUCCCCGGGGGAUAAAGACUUCGGGAAUGUGGCUCUCUUCGGGGAGUGUUAUAGCCCGUUGUGUAAUACCCUGGGGGGGACUGAGGUUCGCGCAUCUGCAAGGAUGCUGGCGUAAUGGUCAUCAACGACCCGUCUUGAAACACGGACCAAGGAGUCGUCUUCGUAUGCGAGUGUUCGGGUGUCAAACCCCUACGCGUAAUGAAAGUGAACGCAGGUGAGAGCUUCGGCGCAUCAUCGACCGAUCCUGAUGUUCUCGGAUGGAUUUGAGUAAGAGCAUACGGGGCCGGACCCGAAAGAAGGUGAACUAUGCCUGUAUAGGGUGAAGCCAGAGGAAACUCUGGUGGAGGCUCGCAGCGG
rnacentral:rRNA from 1 species